rnacentral:rRNA from 1 species
AUACAGAGGGUGCGAGCGUUAAUCGGAAUUACUGGGCGUAAAGCGCACGUAGGUGGCGACGUAAGUCGGGUGUGAAAGCCCCGGGCUCAACCUGGGAAUUGCAUUCGAGACUGCAUUGCUGGAGUACGGAAGAGGAAGGCGGAAUUCCCGGUGUAGCGGUGAAAUGCGUAGAUAUCGGGAGGAACAUCAGUGGCGAAGGCGGCCUUCUGGUCCAGUACUGACACUCAAGUGCGAAAGCGUGGGGAGCAAACAGGA